rnacentral:rRNA from 1 species
UACGGGGGGGGCAAGCGUUGUUCGGACUUACUGGGCGUAAAGGGCGCGCAGGCGGCUCUGAAAGUCAGAUGUGAAAGCCCCGGGCUUAACCUGGGAACUGCAUUUGAUACUCUAGAGCUUGAGUACGGGAGAGGAGAGUGGAAUUCCCAGUGUAGAGGUGAAAUUCGUAGAUAUUGGGAAGAACACCGGUGGCGAAGGCGGCUCUCUGGACCGUAACUGACGCUGAGGCGCGAAAGCGUGGGGAGCAAACAGG